AUUGAACGCUGGCGGCAGGCCUAACACAUGCAAGUCGAACGAGUGGCGGACGGGUGAGUAAUGUCUGGGAAACUGCCUUAUGGAGGGGGAUAACUACGGGAAACGGUAGCUAAUACCGCAUACCAUCGGAUGUGCCCAGAUGGGAUUAGCUAGUUGGUGGGGUAACGGCUCACCAAGGCGACGAUCCCUAGCUGGUCUGAGAGGAUGACCAGCCACACGGGAACUGAGACACGGUCCAGACUCCUACGGGAGGCAGCAGUGGGGAAUAUUGCACAAUGGGCGCAAGCCUGAUGCAGCCAUGCCGCGUGUAUGAAGAAGGCCUUCGGGUUGUAAAGUACUUUCAGCGGGGAGGCGUUACCUGCAGAAGAAGCACCGGCUAACUCCGUGCCAGCAGCCGCGGUAAUAC
rnacentral:rRNA from 1 species